rnacentral:tRNA from 1 species
AAGGAAACGGCGGGUCCGGUUCGAAAGAAUCCGGCCCGCCGUUUUCGUAUACGAACCGGCGGCCACGCGCCGCC